CCUACGGGAGGCAGCAGUCGGGAAUAUUGGACAAUGGGCGCAAGCCUGAUCCAGCUACGCCAAGUGAGUGAUGAAGGCCUCCGGGUUGUAAAGCUCUGUCGUAAGGGAAGAUAAUGACGGUACCUUACAAGAAAGCGCCGGCUAACUCCGUGCCAGCAGCCGCGGUAAUACGGAGGGUGCAAGCGUUACUCGGAAUUACUGGGCGUAAAGGGAGCGCAGGCGGUCUAUUAAGUCAGGUGUGAAAGCCCGGGGCUCAACCCCGGAACUGCACCUGAAACUGGUAGACUUGAGGAUGAGAGAGGAAAGUAGAAUUUCUGGUGUAGAGGUGAAAUUCGUUGAUAUCAGAAGGAAUACCCGUGGCGAAGGCGGCUUUCUGGCUCAUUUCUGACGCUGAGGCUCGAAAGUGUGGGUAGCAAACAGGAUUAGAUACCCUGGUAGUCCACACCGUAAACGAUGAAUGCUAGGCGACCGGUUCGUUUAUCGACUGGGUGCCGUAGUUAACGCAUUAAGCAUUCCGCCUGGGGAGUACGGUCGCAAGAUUAAAACUCAAAUGAAUUGACGG
rnacentral:rRNA from 1 species